UUCUUAAUGAAAUAAUUUUAAGUAACACCUGCUCAAUGAAAUUUCAAUAGCCGCAGAAUAUUUACUGUGCUAAGGUAGCAUAAUCAUUAGCCUCUUAAUUAGAGGCUCGUAUGAACGGUGAAACAUUUCAUCUUCUUUUUUUUCUAUUUUUUUUAAAAUUUAAUUAAGAGUAAAAAUGCUCUUAUUCUUAAUAUAGACGACAAGACCCUUUUGAACUUUACUGAAGUUUGGCUGGGGCAGCUUAUUAAUAAUCAUCUUUUUAUUUUUUUUGAUUCUUAAAUGACCCAAUAUUAUUGAUUAUUUGAACAAGUUACCAUAGGGAUAACAGCGUAAUUUCUUUUCAAAGUUCUUAUUUAAAAAGAAGAUUGCGACCUCGAUGUUGAAUUAAUGUAACUUUUUGAUGCAACAAUUUUAGGAGUAGGUCUGUUCGACCUUUGAAACAUU
rnacentral:rRNA from 1 species